rnacentral:lncRNA from 1 species
GGAAAUGGAGGGCCAAUGGCCCAAAAAAAUAUACAACCUAUGCAUUUUGAGGACAGAUUCACCGCUCAUUAUUUUUCAAGCUAUUGUGCCUUCUUUUUUUUUUUUCCUAUUCAGAAAAUAAUAAUGUAUGAAAAUAUUAAUCCUUAAUAGGAAUAAUGAUGAAUCAAAUAUAGUUCAGAUAAACUAAUACUCGUAGUUGUCCUCUAAUUAAAACCCCACAUCCGUCUAAGGUCGGAUCGGAUAGACAAUAUGAAUU